UCUCUUUCGACGUUUAGUACAUGGAGGAACAUUGGGAAGUGAGCAGCAAUUAUUUGCUUGUGAUACCGUUUACAUUCUAUAUAAUCGUGAUGUGGAGCUUGGAUUUCACAUUUGGUUUCUUAGCAGCUUCUGUCAGACUAUUUCGUUAUCUAAAAUUUUGGGUCGAUAAUCAUGGUUAACGCACAGAAAAAGGUACUUACGUAUCAUACGGAGUACCUCUUAAUCGUCAAAGAGGCAAUAAAUCGGCGUCAUUGAAGGAAUUCGAGAGCGAUGAAACGCAAAGAUUGAACCUACGGCUUCCGUUUGGAGUGCUCCGUCAGCGCAAUCGAAGAUACUUCACAAGAGCGGGUUCGUCUACGAUUCAACGUCGGCGAGGAUAAACAGGAAUGCCCUACAAACAAAGCCGCGAGACGACGAGAAACACAAUAAUUCGAAUGAAAAUAACGAAUUAUCGAAGAAAACGGUAUAUUAUGUGAUUCCAAUUAUUCGUAUCUCGGAUCACGGCGGAAAGUUCGAUUGGGUGGUUCUAUCCAUUCACACCUCAGAUCACUCGUGAGAUCAACCCUCUAAACUGAGAAUGAAAAUUUUUUUUUAUAAAUUUGUUAUUAAUACACAUUCAACUUCAGUAUCAGUAAGAAAAAUAUUAAGAAACUGAAAAAUAUUCGUUUUAUAAGCGAAAAACUGAGAAAUGAGAAAAUCGAAUUUGCCCCAAAGUCCAAGGCGACUUGACCGUUACUUUUCAAUUUUUUGCUUAUAAAAUGAAGAUUUUUAAGUUUUUAACAAAUUUUUUUACUGGUAAUGAAACUGAGUGUAUAUUAAUAAGAAAUCUAUGAAGAAAAAUGUUGAUUUUAAGUUUUAACUAUUGGUCUUUCGCUGUUAAGGCUGAACUAAUCCGAUUCGCCUCGGUCUACCCUAAUAUAUUUUAUCGCACUAAUGAAACUUACCUACUACAUAAGGUGUAUGAUAAAAUUAUUUUAACAUGUUGGACAUAUUCAGAACGUGCGCUAAACUUCAAACAUUCAUUAUUUGUUUUAUAACCGAUAACAUUUUUCGUUUAAUAUCGGUUCGUGCCUGACUCUCUGAACUAAUUAAAAUGAAAUUUAUUUAUUUAAAAAUAUUUACUUCUUUCGAUAUAAUUUCUUAAAUAAUCAUCCAGUUCGAACAAUGAAAUAAUUAAAUAGAAUUUAUUUACGAAAAUACUUCGGUUUAUCAUAACGAUUAUUUACGAAUUAUACGAAAACAAUAUUGUACGAAUAGCGGAAAAAUGUGAGAAAACACAUGAUUCAUGAAUGCCGAGAGAUGGUUUGUAUUGACAUAUGAGGAUUCUAAACGACACGCCCAAAACCUCGGUCGAUUUGUAGAUGGAACGAGAUAUAUUAUUUUAGUUUCAGGUUUACACAAAAAGGCCCUUCGCGUAGUUUAUUUAACUUGGCGUUCUUUAUCCGUCUUACUUUACCACGUACUUCCUUUGUUUUCCUUCCGGAAGCCGCACGAAUUUUUUCUAACAACACUCGAAUUCAUCUCGCAUUGUUUCCGCGAAAUUAAUAUUUUUGGAAUUGUAGGGACUUGGAAUAAUUUCCGAUCCCGUUUUCCUGGGUUUUUCAUGCUAUGUAUUGAUUUACAUUUUUUUCGAUGGUUGAAUCGUGUGAUAAAAGAUGAUGCGUUGUUUGAGAAACAUAGUACCGAGUGGACAAUUAACGUAGGUGUAUACUGGAAAUAGAAAUAAACUGAACACAGAAUUUAGGAAAGUUAUAAAGUAUAGCUUACAUUGAUAGCAAUUCGAGUAUAUAAAAUGAAGGGAAAUGAAAUCACUUAUUCCAAUAUAAAUUGGGAUUCAAAAUUAGAGUCCUCAAUAUUGGAAACUAACUAAGACAUAACUUCUGAAAGAAUCUAUUGAAAGUAAUUAUUCUUCGAGAAAAUUGUACUUAGCCUCUUUGAAAUUAAUUACAUGUUUUAUUUAAACUGAAUAAUAAAACACGAAAACAAUGUAAGCAUUAAUUACAAAAAAAAGUUUUACAUAAGCACGGCGAUAGGUAAUUAAAGUGGAUUAACAAUUAAAACGAUGAACAAUAGUGGUUAAAAAUAAAUUUUAAAAAGAAGGAAAAGAGAUUAACGAUUUACAAUUGUAAAAAUACUUUAUUGGACUAGUUCUUAUGCUUUGGUUACAAUAAUGAGUAAAAUAGAUUGCAUUGUCGCGAUAAUAAUGAUUGCUUAAAAAUAUUAAUUAGUAGAUCAAUAAAUAGUAGAAUAGUAAGGCACUCUGCAAUAAAUAUAGUAUCUAAUGCUUAUCUUAUUAUUUGGCAUCAUUCAAAGAGACAGUAGACCUCGUUUGUGAACAGAGCAUUCUUGUUUUGCUCGUUAAAAAGUAUUGAAUCCCUCGUUUCAGAGGGGGAUAUUAGAAAUAGGAGAGUUGCGGCUCGUGAUUGUGACGUGUCGACAUGUUCUGAUGUCCAGGAUGAUGGAAAUUCUGGAUCUCGUGUGUUCCCUGCUGACCACGGUACUGAUUAGAACUUGGUGUUGUCGAGGAUGACACGUUGCAACUGUUGUUCAUCAACAUCGAAGCGCUACUGCCUUGAAGAGCGAAUGGCCACGACUGUAACGAAAAUAGUGAAACACAAUUCGUUAACUGAUCUCGAUAUUCUGGUUAUUUCUAAUAUAGAUUUUGUAGUGUUAGAAAAUAGCGUGAACAUAUAUUCUGUAUUUUAUAUUGACAUAGGGUAGACCGAGGCGAAUGGGAUCAAUUCAGAUUCAACAGCGAAACACUAAUAGUUAAAACUUAGGAUCAACAUAUUUUUUCAUAAAUUUGUUAUUAAUAGACAUUCAAUUUCUAUACCAGUGAAAAGAAAAUUGUAUUUAUUUAAUAUAAGAAACGCAGUUUUAUAACACCUUUAUAUAACGACGGUUGAGCAACAAAUAAAUGUGAAUUUUGUGAACUGAAUGAAUAAAUAGUAUUGGUAUGCUAUUUAUAUGACACAUAUUGAGUGUGAUCUUUAAACAUAGCAAACACUAUUCUUAUGUGUAUUUAUAUUAACAGAUGUAGCAUAAAGAAUGGACAUAAUACAAAAUAAAAUUUGAUUCGAAUAAUUAUUUAAA